CGAACGGGUGAGUAACGCGUGAGGAACCUGCCUCAAAGAGGGGGACAACAGUUGGAAACGACUGCUAAUACCGCAUAAGCCCACGACCCGGCAUCGGGAAGAGGGAAAAGGAGCAAUCCGCUUUGAGAUGGCCUCGCGUCCGAUUAGCUAGUUGGUGAGGUAACGGCUCACCAAGGCGACGAUACAUAGCCGACCUGAGAGGGUGAUCGGCCACACUGGGACUGAGACACGGCCCAG
rnacentral:rRNA from 1 species